AUCGAAGCUCGUAACCGCCUGCGGGCGUGACGGGCAGUUGGUAUCCUCCUUCUGAGGGGUGUAUGGCGCAGCUUGGGCCGGCCCUUACGGGUCGCGAAUCCCCAGUGUUGCGGCGGACCGCCCCUUGGGCAACUCAGUGGGGGCAAUUGGAUGGCCCGUGGGUAUCUUUGGCGGCUUCGUCCCUGGAGGUGGCUCGGGCUAGGCGUUGGGCUUCGGUCCACGUCUCGACCUAUCUAACUCUGAGACCUCUUAAUUGAGGGCUACCGGGUGGUUUUUCGUCUUUCGGGGCGGAGGGCCUCCCGGGAAAGAUAGUUACCUGGUUGAUUCUGCCANUAUUCAUAUGCUUGUCUCAA
rnacentral:misc_RNA from 1 species